rnacentral:sRNA from 1 species
GCUGGGCAUGGUGGCGCAUGCCUGUAAUCCCAGCUACUCAGGAGGCUGAGGCAGGAGAAUUGCCUGAACCCAGGAGGCCGAGGUUGCAGUGAGCCGAGAUCGCGCCAUUGCACUCCAGCCUGGGUAACAAGAGCGAAACUCCGUCUCAA